rnacentral:rRNA from 1 species
UACGGGGGGGGCAAGCGUUGUUCGGAAUUACUGGGCGUAAAGGGCGCGUAGGCGGCCUGCUAAGUCAGACGUGAAAUCCCUAGGCUCAACCUAGGAACUGCGUCUGAUACUGGAUGACUUGAAUCCGGGAGAGGGAUGCAGAAUUCCAGGUGUAGCGGUGAAAUGCGUAGAUAUCUGGAGGAAUACCGGUGGCGAAGGCGGCAUCCUGGACCGGCAUUGACGCUGAGGAGCGAAAGCCAGGGGAGCAAACGGG